AGAGUUUGAUCAUGGCUCAGGGCUAACGCUGGCGGCGCGCCUAACACAUGCAAGUCGAACGCAUCCUUCGGGGUGAGUGGCAGACGGGUGAGUAACACGUGGGAACAUACCUUUUGGUUCGGAAUAACUCAUGGAAACGUGAGCUAAUACCGGAUACGCCCUUUUGGGGAAAGAUUUAUUGCCGAAAGAUUGGCCCGCGUCUGAUUAGCUAGUUGGUGAGGUAAUGGCUCACCAAGGCGACGAUCAGUAGCUGGUCUGAGAGGAUGAUCAGCCACACUGGGACUGAGACACGGCCCAGACUCCUACGGGAGGCAGCAGUGGGGAAUAUUGGACAAUGGGCGCAAGCCUGAUCCAGCCAUGCCGCGUGAGUGAUGAAGGCCUUAGGGUUGUAAAGCUCUUUUAUCCGGGAAGAUAAUGACUGUACCGGAAGAAUAAGCCCCGGCUAACUUCGUGCCAGCAGCCGCGGUAAUACGAAGGGGGCUAGCGUUGCUCGGAAUCACUGGGCGUAAAGGGCGCGUAGGCGGACAGCUAAGUCAGGGGUGAAAUCCCGAGGCUCAACCUCGGAA
rnacentral:rRNA from 1 species